rnacentral:rRNA from 1 species
UACGUAGGGGGGCAAGCGUUGUCCGGAAUCAUUGGGCGUAAAGCGCGUGUAGGCGGUUCGGUAAGUCGGCUGUGAAAGUCCAGGGCUCAACCCUGGAAUGCCGGUGGAUACUGCCGGCCUUGAGGGAGGUAGGGGCGUGCGGAACUUCCGGUGGAGCGGUGAAAUGCGUAGAUAUCGAGAGGAACACCUGCGGCGAAGGCGGGGUUGCUGGGCUGACACUGACGCUGAGGCGCGAAAGUGUGGGGAGCGAACAGG